rnacentral:tRNA from 1 species
UAUAAAGGAGUGUUUCCGCACGUAGGGAUUUGACCCCUAAAGAAAAGAUUGACCUCUUUCUUUAUAA